AUGUGAGUUAACUCGCUGCGUUUUGGCAGGCAGCAGAGAAUCAUUGUGUUUGAGUUGCAUGUUGCCAUAGAGCAUUUCAAUUAAACACAACUACAGUCGUCUUCAAUAGAAUACCACGUUUUUUAAAAAGCGGGCCAACGGAGUGUUUUGUAUUUAUUUAUAAUGUAGACAUGCUCUAUCAAUCACGAGACUAACACUAAGGCUAUGAGUAUUAUAGAUAAGAAGAGAAAAAAAAUAAUUUGAGUGACACUGAUUAAAAAAGACAUUUUACCUAUAG